CGCAGCCGCGGUAAUUCCAGCUCCAAUAGCGUAUAUUAAAGUUGUUGCAGUUAAAAAGCUCGUAGUUGAAUUUCGAGAUCAAAUUGUUGGUCGUGCCUUGGUACGCACUGGCAUUAUUGGUUUCUCCCUUCUGACGAACCAUGAUGUCAUUAAUUUGGUGUCUUGGGGAAUCAGGGCUGUUACUUUGAAAAAAUUAGAGUGUUUAAAGCAGGCUCACGCUUGAAUACAUUAGCAUGGAAUAAUGAAAUAGGACGUUUGAUUCUAUUUUGUUGGUUUCUAGGAUCGACGUAAUGAUUAAUAGGGAUAGUUGGGGGGCAUUAGUAUUCAAUUGUCAGAGGUGAAAUUCUUGGAUUUAUUGAAGACUAACUACUGCGAAAGCAUCUGCCAAGGAUGUUUUCAUUAAUCAAGAACGAAAGUUAGGGGAUCGAAGACGAUCAGAUACCGUCGUAGUCUUAACCAUAAACUAUGCCGACUAGGGAUCGGAUGAUGUUAAUUUUUUAAUGACUCAUUCGGCGCCUUA
rnacentral:rRNA from 1 species